rnacentral:rRNA from 1 species
GAUGAACGCUGGCGGCGUGCUUAACACAUGCAAGUCGAACGAAGCACUUUAUUUGAUUUCCUUCGGGACUGAUUAUUUUGUGACUGAGUGGCGGACGGGUGAGUAACGCGUGGGUAACCUGCCUUGUACAGGGGGAUAACAGUUGGAAACGGCUGCUAAUACCGCAUAAGCGCACAGCAUCGCAUGAUGCAGUGUGAAAAACUCCGGUGGUAUAAGAUGGACCCGCGUUGGAUUAGCUAGUUGGUGAGGUAACGGCCCACCAAGGCGACGAUCCAUAGCCGACCUGAGAGGGUGACCGGCCACAUUGGGACUGAGACACGGCCCAAACUCCUACGGGAGGCAGCAGUGGGGAAUAUUGCACAAUGGGCGAAAGCCUGACGCAGCGACGCCGCGUGAGCGAAGAAGUAUUUCGGUAUGUAAAGCUCUAUCAGCAGGGAAGAUAAUGACGGUACCUGACUAAGAAGCACCGGCUA